UGGGGCGUGGCCAAGCGGUAAGGCACGGGCCUUUGGCGCCCGUAUCCUAGGUUCGAAUCCUAGCGCCCCAG
rnacentral:tRNA from 1 species